rnacentral:rRNA from 1 species
AACGCGUGAGGAACCUGCCUCAAAGAGGGGGACAACNGUUGGAAACGACUGCUAAUACCGCAUAAGCCCACGGCUCGGCAUCGAGCAGAGGGAAAAGGAGCAAUCCGCUUUGAGAUGGCCUCGCGUCCGAUUAGCUAGUUGGUGAGGUAAUGGCCCACCAAGGCGACGAUCGGUAGCCGGACUGAGAGGUUGAACGGCCACAUUGGGACUGAGACACGGCCCAGACUCCUACGGGAGGCAGCAGUGGGGAAUAUUGCACAAUGGGGGAAACCCUGAUGCAGCGACGCCGCGUGGAGGAAGAAGGUCUUCGGAUUGUAAACUCCUGUUGUUGAGGAAGAUAAUGACGGUACUCAACAAGGAAGUGACGGCUAACUACGUGCCAGCAGCCGCGGUAAAACGUAGGUCACAAGCGUUGUCCGGAAUUACUGGGUGUAAAGGGAGCGCAGGCGGGAGAACAAGUUGGAAGUGAAAUCCAUGGGCUCAACCCAUGAACUGCUUUCAAAACUGUUUUUCUUGAGUAGUGCAGAGGUAGGCGGAAUUCCCGGUGUAGCGGUGGAAUGCGUAGAUAUCGGGAGGAACACCAGUGGCGAAGGCGGCCUACUGGGCACCAACUGACGCUGAGGCUCGAAAGUGUGGGUAGCAAACAGGAUUAGAUACCCUGGUAGUCCACACCGUAAACGAUGAUUACUAGGUGU